UAAAAAUGCAAAUUUUUUAUUAAUUAAGAUUUAAUUUUAUUCAAAAAUUAUUUUUAAUAUAUGAAUAUUAACUCAACAAUAUUAUUAGUGAUAAACACCCAAAAAAGUGUCCAAAUCAAACCAAAAGUUAAGGACCCCUUUAUUACUUUCACUUUAAGCUAAAAUAUCCAUAAUUCUACUCUUCCCUUUUCUUAGUUCUAUCAUUGUUUCAUUGUGUUCUGGCAAUUUUUAUAUAUUUUUUAAUAUUUUUUAAUAAAUCAAAUAUUUUUCAUUUGAAAUAGAAAGCCAUCAUCAUAAUGAUUUAGCAAUGAUUUAAA
rnacentral:misc_RNA from 1 species